rnacentral:rRNA from 1 species
UACGGGGGGGGCAAGCGUUGUUCGGAAUUACUGGGCGUAAAGGGUUCGUAGGUGGCCAACUAAGUCAGACGUGAAAUCCCUCGGCUUAACCGGGGAACUGCGUCUGAUACUGGAUGGCUUGAGUGUGGGAGAGGGAUGCGGAAUUCCAGGUGUAGCGGUGAAAUGCGUAGAUAUCUGGAGGAACACCGGUGGCGAAGGCGGCAUCCUGGACCACGACUGACGCUGAGUGAGCGAAAGCCAGGGGAGCAAACGGG